rnacentral:rRNA from 1 species
GGAUGAACGCUAGCGGCAGGCUUAACACAUGCAAGUCGAGGGGCAGCGCGGGAUAGCAAUAUCCUGGCGGCGACCGGCGGAAGGGUGCGUAACGCGUGAGCGACAUGCCCGUUGCCCGGGGACAACCGGUGGAAACGCCGACUAAUCCCCGAUGGGAUAUUGUGCCGCAUGGCACGAUAUUGAAAGUUACGGCGGCGACGGAUUGGCUCGCGUCCGAUUAGCUGGUUGGCGGGGUAACGGCCCACCAAGGCUGCGAUCGGUAGGGGUUCUGAGAGGAAGGCCCCCCACAAUGGGACUGAGACACGGCCCAUACUCCUACGGGAGGCAGCAGUGAGGAAUAUUGGUCAAUGGGCGGAAGCCUGAACCAGCCAUGCCGCGUGCGGGAAGGAGGCCCUAUGGGCUGUGAACCGCUUUUGCCUGGGGGCAAUAAGGGCGUCGCGCACGUCCGAUGAGAGUACCAGGCGAAUAAGCAUCGGCUAACUCCGUG